rnacentral:RNase_P_RNA from 1 species
GCAGAGAACCGGGCGAUCGCGCGUUCCGACCUGGGGCGACCCGGCGGAACGGGAGGAAAGUCCGGGCACCGAAGGGCAGGAUGCUGGGCAACGCCCAGGGGGAGCGAUCCCACGGAAAGUGCCACAGAAAACAGACCGCCUUGGGGCUUGAGUUCCAGGGUAAGGGUGAAACGGCGGGGUAAGAGCCCACCGCGCGUCCGGCGACGGGCGUGGCAUGGUAAACCCCAUCCGGUGCAAGGUCACAUAGGAACGAACGAGAUGGCCCGUCUCAUUUGACGUUCGGGUAGGCUGCAUGAGGCAGGGGGUAACUCUUGUCCCAGAGAGAUGAUCGCCCCUUCGACCCUCAGCUUCUGGGGGACGAAGGACAGAACCCGGCUUACAGGUUCUCUGCUUGC